GCAGUGGUGGUGCAGUGUAGAAUGCUCACCUUCCAUGUGGGAGGCCCGGGUUCGAUUCCUGGCCAGUGCA
rnacentral:tRNA from 1 species